GCGAAAGCCUCCAAUAUCUUGCUCCUUAGUUGCUGUGGGAGGUUUUAAGCCAUGAAUUUUGCUGGAAGCAAUGGAAAUAACAUCCAAUUCCUGUUUGUGGGCCAUGUCCACUGGAAAAGCAUUGUGCUAAAGGGGCAGACAGGAGAGAUUUAUGAUAUAGUCCUCUAUUUUAAGGAUCUUAGAGCAGGAAAAACCAUUGAAGGUGAAACUUUCCUUUAACUUGUAAUAUGGAUGUUUCAUGAAACAGAGAUAGCAUUGGAUGGAACAAUUAAAGAAUGUGAUACUUGAACCGGUUUUUUUUUUUUUUUUUUUUUUUUUUUUUUUUUUUUUUUUUUUUUUGAGACAGUCUCACUCUGUUGCCCAGCCUGGAUUGCAGUGACAUGAUCACAGCUCACUACAACCUCAACCUCCCUGGGAUCAAGCUAUCCUCCCAUCUUAGCUUCCCAAGUCAUUGGGACUACAGGGAAUGUGCCGCUGUGCCCAGCCAAACUGGAUCUUCAGUAUGUUUAUGUAACUUUCCGGGAGCAGAGUGUUUUCAGCUUUGGAGCUUCAAUCGAACUUUUGAGACAAGAAGGUGGAAUGAUAUUGGUUUCCCUGUAAGUUUCUCACCAUCCUGCAGCCUUCUGAGGAGGUCUCACCAUGAACCUGGCGAUGGAUGAGAAGAUAUUUCUUUCCCCCCAUACCAGCCCUCACCACCAACUGACUGCAAAAACUUGAGAGACCGAGUGAGAAUUGCCCAGCUCAGCCCAGUUAGCUCCUAGAACCAUGAGAGAUAAAAAUAAA
rnacentral:lncRNA from 1 species